GUGAAGUCUUUUUUUUAAUUGGUAGAAUUGGUUCUUUUUUUGAUUCCUAAAGCAGAAGAAUUAGAAAUGUCUGAGCUAGACUCACUUUUUUAGGGUUUGAAAUUUGAAUUCUCAGUGAACCACGGGAGGAAAGAAUGAUGAAAUGCUCUAGAGUUUUAAUAGUGACUCUGUGGCUUCAGUUAACCUGUGUGAGGAGCCAACAGAAGGGAGUGGAGCAGAGUCCUGGAUCUCUGAGUGUUCCAGGGGGAGACGUUGCCUCUCUCAACUGCACUUACAGUGACAGCGCUUCCCAGACCUUCAUGUGGUACAGACAGUAUUCUGGGAAAGGCCCUGAGUUGCUGAUGUACACAUACUCCAGUGGUGACAAGGAUAAAGGAAGAUUUACAGCGCAUCUGAAUAAAGCCGGCCAAUAUGUCUCUCUGCUCAUCAGAGAUUCCCAGCCCAGUGACUCAGCCACCUACCUCUGUGCAGUGAGCACACAGUGCUCCUGCAGCACCUGCAGUCUGUACCCAAACCUCCUGGGGCCCCAGAAAUGCCUGAUAUAG